GUGAGGAAUUUUGCGCAAUGGGGGCAACCCUGACGCAGCGACGCCGCGUGGAGGACGAAGUCUUUCGGGAUGUAAACUCCUGUCAGUGGGGACGAUAAUGACGGUACCCACAGAGGAAGCACCGGCUAACUCCGUGCCAGCAGCCGCGGUAAGACGGAGGGUGCAAGCGUUGUUCGGAAUUACUGGGCGUAAAGCGUAUGUAGGCGGCAAGUUAAGUUCAAUGUUAAAGCCCACGGCUCAACCGAGGAAGUGCAUUGAAUACUGGCUAGCUAGAGGGUGUUAGAGGAAGACGGAAUUCCCAGUGUAGCGGUGAAAUGCUUAGAUAUUGGGAGGAACAUCGGUAGCGAAAGCGGUCUUCUGGGACAUACCUGACGUUGAGGUACGAAAGCGUGGGGAGCAAACGGGAUUAGCAACCCUGGUAGUCC
rnacentral:rRNA from 1 species